rnacentral:rRNA from 1 species
GAGGGGAGCCCUAGCACAGGUGCUGCAUGGCCGUCGUCAGCUCGUGCCGUGAGGUGUUGGGUUAAGUCCCGCAACGAGCGCAACCCCCGCCGUUAGUUGCCAGCGGUUCGGCCGGGCACUCUAACGGGACUGCCCGCGAAAGCGGGAGGAAGGAGGGGACGACGUCUGGUCAGCAUGGCCCUUACGGCCUGGGCGACACACGUGCUACAAUGCCCACUACAAAGCGAUGCCACCCGGCAACGGGGAGCUAAUCGCAAAAAGGUGGGCCCAGUUCGGAUUGGGGUCUGCAACCCGACCCCAUGAAGCCGGAAUCGCUAGUAAUCGCGGAUCAGCCAUGCCGCGGUGAAUACGUUCCCGGGCCUU